rfam:Bacillus sp. LL01 scaffold1.1, whole genome shotgun sequence.
CCCGUGCUACAACCGCACAGUCCAGGUUCCAUUAAAUAUGGGCGUGAAUUCGUUACAUAUACCUGACACUGGCGAGUCUGAGUCUAUUG